AAACUCUUGUUUGACCAAAAUGUGCAAGCACAUUCUUCUGAAGUAAAUCUCUUUCAGUCAUCUGGAUUUAGCUUGCUUGGAAGUGGUAUGCAGAUCAUAUACUGCACAAUUGGGUUAAGAGAGCGAUUUCUGGAACUUACAGACUGGUUUUUGAAGUGAAAAAGUUGACCCAGCUAUCCUCUCCUUUUGACAUGGAGGUAUUAGCUGCAGCAGCCUCUGCAGGAGCAGUUGAGACAUACAAAGAUGUAAGAAAUGCAGUGGACUCUCUUGAUGAAUUAAGAGAUUAUGAGAAAAAUCUAGAUAAAAAUUAUGAGAAGUUGAAGGAUGAAGCUAAAAAGCUAUAUGCCAGGAGAAGUGAUUUGUUAGUCAAAAUAAAUAGGGAUAGGACAAAGCAGACUACUGAAGAAUGCAAUGUGUGGAUGGGUAAAGUCAAGAAACUUGAGAAGGAUGUGCUAGCAUUAGAAUCUGAAUAUGAAGAAGAAAAGAGGUACCAGUUUAAAUUGCUUCGUCUUCUCCCACGUUCAAAUCUUAGCAAAUGCAUGGUAGAGAAACGUAUUGAUAUUCAAAGUUGUUGGUCAGAGGGGAGCAAUUUUGUAACUGAUUUUUUGGUCGAGAGAUCAGCAAAACCUAUCAAAAAAUUGAAGGCACCAAAAAUAAAAGACAUGCCAUCUCUUUAUGUGAUUUUUGAAGAUAUACUACAAUGUCUGAAAGAUAGCUGCGUGACCAGAAUAGGACUUUGGGGGCGGGUGGGUGUUGGUAAAACAACAAUCAUGCAAAAUCUGAAUGAUAGUGAAGAAAUUUCUAAAUUGUUUGAUAUAGUCUUUUAUGUGAAUCUAGCUGAUGAAGGGAAUGAAGAAAAGUUGCAAGAAAGGGUUCAGCAUCAGAUAGCACAAAAGCUACAAUUGAAUUCACUACAAGAUAGAACUGACACCAAGACAAUUGCUUCAAGAGUAUCUGAAAAGUUGGAGAGCAUGAGAUUUUUACUUCUUUUAGAUGAUGUUUGGGGCCCAUUUGAUCUAGAUGAUUGUGGCAUCUCUGAAAAUGGAAGGGAUAGCAAGAUAGUAAUUGCAUCUAGACAUCGUGGCCAUUGCCGUGAGAUGGGUGUUGAUCAUCUAAUUAGGGUGUCACGGCUCUCAAAUGAUGAAGCUUGGAAUCUUUUUCAAGAAAGAUUAGGCCGAACUUUGAAUUCUGAAUUUAAAGCUCUAGGCCUCCAAGUUAUUGAGGAGUGUGAUAAUUUGCCCCUUUUGAUAGAUAAGGUAGCAAGGGCCUUCAGAAGGAAAGACAAUAUUCUCCUAUGGGAAGCUGGGUUGAACAAAUUGCGAAUAUGGCCUUGUACCAAAUGUGAUGGCAUGGAUGACGUGUUUGAUUUAUUAAGAUUUUGUUAUGAAGAAUUAGAUGAAGAUGAAAAGUUUUGCUUUCUUUAUGGUGCCUUGUAUACUGAAGCAUAUGAAAUAUGUAUAAAGUAUCUGCUAGAAUGUUGAAGAGCUGAAAAUUUCACUCAAGAUGUGGAGCAGUUCACUGCAAUUCAGAAAGGGCAAGAGAUAUUGCAUGAUCUGAUGGAUGCGUCUUUGUUAGAAAAUGGGGAAAAGGUAAAACAUGUAAAGAUGAACAAGGUGCUACGGAAAAUGGCCUUAAAAAUCUUGGAAAGUGAGGAUUCAAAAUGUUUGGUGAAACCUGGCAAAGAGCUCCAAAAGACUCCAGAAAGUAAAGAAUGGAAAAAAAAACUAAGGAUUUCUUUGAUGGAUAACAAAUUGAAUACUUUACCGGAAAAGCCAGAUUGCAACAAUCUCUUGACACUGCUGCUACAGAGAAAUACUGAUUUGGCAGUAAUCCCUGGACAAUUCUUUGAAUCAAUGCAAAGUCUUAGGGUCUUGGACUUGCAGAGCACCGAUAUUGUCGAGUUACCGUCAUCGUUGUCAUGCUUGGUAUGUCUCAGAGCUCUUUACUUGAAUUCUUGCAGGAAACUGUUGAAGCUUCCAGCCAAAAUAAAGGCACUUAAGCUACUCGAGGUUCUUGAUAUUCGAGGAACUGGGAUCAAUUUUUUGCCGGUUGAAAUAAAAUGUUUGAGCCAACUCCGGUGCGUUCGGAUGUCAUUGUCAAAGAUAUAUGGAAAAUCAAGGUAUAUGAAAACAAAUCAUACUAUGAUUUUACAGCUUUCUUUGUUGGAAGAGUUGGUCAUCGACAUUCAUCCAGAAAAUAAGUGGUGGGAUAAAGUUGUGAGAGAUAUAAUUCAAAAUAUGGCUAUCUUAACAAAAUUGACUUACCUUUCCUUCUCUAUUGGUCAGUAUGAUGAGACUAGGUAUAAAAUUCUUGAUAACUAUGAAGGUCAAAUUUGCCGGCAUGUAAAAUAUGCAAAUGGUGAUGGCAAUCUUUCAGUACCAAGUACUUGCUGAAGUUAAUGCACUUGAGCUGAUUGGAUGCAAGAGAUUUUUGAACUUAUCUGACUUUGGCCUUGACAAUAUGACCAAGAUCAGAAGUUGUUUGAUUGAAAGCUGUAAUGAAAUGGAAUCUGUUGUUAAUGGCAAUGGAAUAACAAGAGCAGUUCUUGAGUGCUUAGAGAAGAUGUACAUAAGCAAUGUCCCCAAAUUGGAAAGAUUUUGGGAGGGUUCAAUACCUCCAGGAAGUCUUGCCCUCUAAAAUACUUUGGUUUUCUUCAAAUGUUCCAAGCUGAAGAAGAUUUUCUGUAACGGUUUAGUUCAACAAUUCUCUAAUCUCCAACACUUGGAAAUUGAAGCUUGUCAUGAAAUUGAAGAAGUCACCCUAGAAGCAGAGAACAACGGAAUGAAUGCUCCUGCACUCCCAAGUCUGAAGUCAAUUAUACUUGUUGGUCUUCCAAGUUUAAGGAGCAUAUAUAUUGAUGAUUCAUUGGAUUGGGAGUCACUAGACAAAAGGAUUUCCAUGUGUCCACAAUUGGAUUCCCUUCCUUCUAGGAGAAGGAUUCAGCGACAAUCAUAAAGAAACGUCUCCAGAUAGAAAUUUUGCACUGGUUGCAUCUUGAACUAGAAUUUCUGAUUUUCAUUUUGAUAGUAUUUGGUUUUGUAAUCUAUAGAACCUAAACUAUAAAUAUUUCUUUUGCAUUUUCA